AUUGAACGCUGGCGGCAUGCCUUACACAUGCAAGUCGAACGGUAACAGGUCUUCGGAUGCUGACGAGUGGCGAACGGGUGAGUAAUACAUCGGAACGUGCCUAGUAGUGGGGGAUAACUACUCGAAAGAGUGGCUAAUACCGCAUGAGAUCUAAUGAUGAAAGCAGGGGAUCGCAAGACCUUGUGCUACUAGAGCGGCAGAUGGCAGAUUAGGUAGUUGUUGGGAUAAAAGCUUACCAAGCCGACGAUCUGUAGCUGGUCUGGGAGGACGAUCAGCCACACUGGGACUGAGACACGGCCCAGACUCCUACGGGAGGCAGCAGUGGGGAAUUUUGGAUGAUGGGCGCAAGCCUGAUCCAGCAAUGCCGCGUGCAGGAUGAAGGCCUUCGGGUUGUAAACUGCUUUUGUACGGAACGAAAAGCCCCGGGUUAAUACCCUGGGGUCAUGACGGUACCGUAAGAAUAAGCACCGGCUAACUACGUGCCAGCCGCCGCCGUAA
rnacentral:rRNA from 1 species